rnacentral:rRNA from 1 species
UACAGAGGUCUCAAGCGUUGUUCGGAUUCAUUGGGCGUAAAGGGUGCGUAGGCGGCGCGGUAAGUCGGAUGUGAAAUCUCGGGGCUUAACUCCGAAACUGCAUUCGAUACUGCCGUGCUUGAGGACUGGAGAGGAGACUGGAAUUUACGGUGUAGCGUGAAAUGCGUAGAGAUCAUGAGGAAGACCAGUGGCGAAGGCGGGUCUCUGGACAGUUCCUGACGCUGAGGCACGAA